UAACAUGUUGUGUGAAAAUCUUGAGCUAUUUUCAUGUUACUUAUUAAUGUCUCCUCUUCCUCACAUGUAUCCUGUGUAAUAGUACAGAUGUGGCUGAACUGUGUUGCUAUAAACCAUGUAAGACUUUACUGUUCAAAUCCACCAUCUUAUUCAGCUCCUUGGUCCAGCUGGCUCUGUAUGUAGGACUGGGCUUAUUGGUGCUGCUUUUGAUCAUCAUCAUCAUCACAUGGAAAGUGCAGGACAAACACAAGAAAAAAACAACGAUUCAAAAUCAGGGAAACACAGAAUUGACACUGAACCCAAACCCUGAAUAUGCAGCAAUAGACAGAACUGGCAUCAUCAAGAGAGACCCCCCAGGGCAGGCCUCUGAGGAGCCUGGUGCUGAUGUCAUCUACAGCUCCAUUGUCCUGUCAGACCCAGAGGUGUCCUCUAGAUGUUCUUCACAGCGUCCUGCUGUAACCCCAGCCAGCGAUGUGGUCUACAGCUCAGUCGCCCUGAAGCACAGAGAGUAGGGGGCAGCAACACAGAGAGGCUCCUCUACAUGUGGGGAGCUGCUGCUCUGGAGAGCUGUGAGGGACACACAGAUACUCCAGUGAUGGGGAGGGAUAAUCACCAGAGAGGAGCAUCUUACAGUGAUGUCAGCUGUAUUUAAAUGGCAUGCAGCACUGUCACAUUACAGUGUGACAGUAAGAGUCAGGCAGUGAGAAACACACAUUCAUGGCUGUUGUGCAUCUGAAUCAUGAUCAAGGUGCUAUUUGUCUCACUUGUAUGUCACUUUGGACAAAAACAUCUGCUAAAUAAGAUAAAUGUAAAUGUGAGGUAUUAUACUGGUGGUCUGUGAAAUUUUACUCAUCAUUCAUAUAAAUGGAAAAAAUACCCUUAGCAAUUGUAGUUGAGCUGCAUAAUAUAGUUACCACACUAUACAGUAUUUUGAGAAUAUUGUGUUGUUACAGUAUAUGUACCAGUGGGGGUUAAGUGAGGUCUAAAGGCUCUGGCUUUAAUUUUAUGCUCUUCUUCCGCACAUCACUGCCCCCUGCUGGAGCCUCCUUGCUCUCCUCUGACUGUGGACUUAAAAGCUGCCCUGUUUCUGUUAUAUUAUGUUUCAUUAUUAUAUUCGCACAGUAUUUGUUUUGCCACAGAAUGUUAGGCUUUUGUUUAUUGAUAAAUGGAGUGUUACUUAAAAUGCAGAACACAGACUGUGUGACUCAUCAUACACAAUGUUAAUAAAAAUGCUGAGACUUCUGGAAGUCUUCUGCACUUCUGGAAGAAUUAGAUUACAACAAUAUACAUUCAAUUUAUAUACAUAACCACACAAUUAUACUUGCACAUUUUAUAUCUGCAUAAUAUAUUCUUUGUAGCACUUAAAAUUAGUUUCAUUUGUAGCUUUAUUUUUCUGUUUUUAUGUGUGAAUGUACUGU